CAAUAGCGUAUAUUUAAGUUGUUGCAGUUAAAAAGCUCGUAGUUGGAUUUCUGCUGAUCGCUGUCGGUCUGCCGUCAGGUGUGUACUGGCAGUGUUUGGCAUCUAUUCGAGAUUGGGUGUCCACUUGAUUGUGUGCACUCGAUGUCGGAGCUAAUACUUUGAGAAAAUUAGAGUGUUCCACGCAGGCGCGUGCCUUGAAUACUGCAGCAUGGGAUAUUGGAAGGCCGAUUGAGCUUUCUUGUUGGUUCUCGGUUUGAUCGGAAUGAUUAAUAGGGAUAGUUGGGGGCAUUCGUAUUCAACUGUCAGAGGUGAAAUUCUUGGAUUUGCUGAAGACGGACUACUGCGAAAGCAUCUGCCAUGGAUGUUCUCAUUG
rnacentral:rRNA from 1 species